GACAUUUGGUAGAGACUGUUGAAGCCACCUGGUCCCAGCAGACCCCAGAAAAUGGCUAUAUUCGCUGGUGAUGGAACAAGGUCAUUAAGGGUGAAGCCUGGUGCCAGAUGUGU
ensembl:rRNA 5S_rRNA 5S ribosomal RNA